GUGCUGGAAGAAGCUGGCUUUUAGUUCAAGCAGGAGAAUUACAUUAUUCUAAUUGUAUACUCUUACUCUAAUCUUUUUCUUUAGGAAUUAAGCCAGGAUAGUCCACCAGCUUUCACUAAUUAUUAAGUAAAAAGACUAUUUUUAAAAUUUGUAUAUUGGAAACUUAAGGAAAUAAAACUGAAAAGCGACUGAAUCUGAAUUUUAAGAGAUAUAUAUUACAUAUACACACAUACACACACAUAGAAUUGCUUGAAGUGAAAAAGUAUCUUUUUUAAAAAGAAAAACUUUACUAUAAUUUUUUAAAUUUCUAAUAAUCCUUUUACCUGAAUUAUUGAAGUGAUUCCUCAUACCUAAUUUAUGAUCUCAGAAUGAUAAUUUUGGGGUCAGAAAAUGACUGUGGGUAUUUAUUUUUAGUAAUGACAAUUUCAAGUGUUGCAGCUUAUAUAGAGAGAGGUAUCGGUAUGCAAACCAUCUUUGAUCAUUACUUUGUGAUGAAUUGGGUAUAGAUUCUAAAGAAAUAUUUUAAUUAAGUAAUAUUUUGUUUCAGAUUCAACCAACUCUGGCGAUAACAUGUAUACUUUAAUGAAUGCAGUACCUCCUGGACCUAACAGACCUAAUUUUCCAAUGGGCCCUGGGUCAGAUGGUCCCAUGGGUGGAUUAGGAGGAAUGGAGUCACAUCACAUGAAUGGCUCUUUAGGCUCAGGAGAUAUGGACAGUAUUUCCAAGAAUUCUCCCAAUAAUAUGAGCCUGAGUAAUCAACCGGGCACUCCAAGGGAUGAUGGCGAAAUGGGGGGAAAUUUCUUAAAUCCUUUUCAGAGUGAGAGUUACUCCCCUAGCAUGACAAUGAGCGUGUGAUCCAUUACCAAGUCUCCUCAUGAAAACCACAGUGAGUCAGCCCUUCACAGAACUACUACGGAAGAAAAU
rnacentral:sRNA from 1 species